GUGAUGCGAGGAAGCGGACUACAAAAAGUGACCCAAGACAAAAAUAGUGAAGGGUUCAUUCAUGGCACCAAGUGCAUUAGGAAGGGGAUGGGAACGUAGACAUCAAUCAAGAUCAUUUUUUUCUAUGAAAUCCACACAAAUGCAUAUUGGAUCAAUUGCACAUAAUCCAUUAGAGCUACAUGAUGACAUCUCUCCAUUUUAAGAUGUUGAUUCUAGGGAAGAAAAAAAUGGAAUACAAGAUCAAAUAUCUGAAUAAGUGUAUGAAGAUUUUGAUAUUAUGCAAAAUAAUAUGAGAAGCAAGCGUCAAAGUAAUAGCACUUUUGUAAAAGAGGAUCCAGUGCAGGAACAAGCACAAAGGUCCAAAUAAUUAUUAUCAUAUGCAUUAUUAUUAAUUUAUAUUCAUCAUACUUAUUUAUUAUUGAUACAUUGUUUCUAUACUAUUAAUGAAGUUCUAAAGACUUAUUUUUUUUAUAUAUUGCUGUUAUGCAAAAGAAGAGAAAAACAAGGGGUAUGAAUAAAGGUAAAAGGGUUGCAGCACUGAAGGAUGAUGAGAAAUUGAAUGUGGUUUUUUUAUAAUAAUCGAGUUAUUAGAGAAAAUUGUACGGAAUGGUUAAGACAUUUGGGCAAAAUAGUGCAUGAUUAUAACAUUUAUUCAAUAAGAGUGCACUCGUAGAAGGAAAUUGGAGAAUAUACAAAUGAUCAUAUGUGGAAUUCAGUCAAGGUACUUUUACUUUUGACUAAACUUUUGAUUGAUUUUUAAUAUGUACUUAUUCAUACAUUCUAACUCUUUUUAUAGGAGAAAUUUAAAAAUGAUAACAUUGAGUUAUAUCAAGAAAAGUCUUUGGAGCAUAUAAAUCAAUUAUAGAAUAAUUGGAGAGGAGAUUGAAAUGCCACAAGAUAAUGCCUAGUAGUUCCUUUCCAGAGGUGUUGAAAAAUGUUCCUUAAAGAAUGUAUCAAGAAGAUUGGGAGCGAUUAGUUAAGAAUCAUUUAUCCACAAAAAAGUUUAAGAAUCAAAUUCAUGAUGUCAUUCAAUCCAACCCCUCUUCAUUUCAUUUGGAGGUGGUAGAAUUAUAUUUUAAAACACAACAUUGUGAUCAUGUAAUUGGUUAUGAGGUUGGAAUGAAAGCAAAAAAGGUCAAGAAAUCUCAUUCCAAUGUUGGCCUUCAAGAGGAGAAUCGAUUGCUUAAGGAUCGGUUGUCUAAAGUAGAAGUUAGGAUGAAAUACCUUGAGGAGUUAUUAUUGAGCCAACAUUCUAAUGCUCAAUUUGGAACUCCUCCAUCUACAAAUUAUUCUACAUGAUUGUGAUUAGAUGUGAUUUUGCAAAUGGUGAAUGAAUUGAAGUAAUUUUUUGGGGGAAGUAGAAAAAGACACUGGGAAGGAUAAAGAGAAAGUGAGUCAAGGCCAAGAGACGACUCAUAAAAGGUAGAGAUACAGAUAAAGCAGUAGAUUAGACUAAUUGUGGCUAGAAGUGACUGCACUUUUGGAUUUUGUCAGGUAUAUAGAUUAUACUCCUUGUAAACUUUUUAUUUUAAUGUAUAUGAACUGUAUGUAUGUAAUGUAAUUGGUCUU